CAAUUUCAAAGCUAAAUAAUACCAAACGCAUACCCCUUAACCUAAAAACCUUUCUAUAUAGUUGAAAGUACACAAAUAUACAUCCUACACUCUAAUACCCUAAGACCGGAAAUCACGCCUAAGAUUCAAAGGCUUCAGCCGUUUUCCCUACCCCCAUGUGACUCCAUGUUCUUUGAUUUUUUUUAAUUGAAAGGAAACAGACACACAAAUAUAAAAUGGGAUCAUCAUGAUAAUGAUCUGUUCAUUUGCAAUUGAUUAACCAUAAGGCUAAAGCAAUUUCCGUGCUCUUGAGAUUGAGGUAUCAAUCAGAAGUUCAGCUUCGAAAUGGCAUGAACAAACUUUAUACUGACGGUAGUGGUAAAAAAAAUUGAAAUCCGGCUUCUGAUAAUCGAAAUGUACAGCAGAGGGGAAACACAGACGAAUGGAUAAAGAUUGAAAGAGAUUAACUCUUUCUUUAGAGUCAAAAACGGACAUAAGCUACAAGCUAUAUUAAUCUCCGCGUUUUCUAAAUUCUACACCUCAAAACUCCAAGAUUCAUCCAUUUCAGCUGCUUCUCUGCUUUCUUCUUCUCAUCACCGUUUCGUUUGUUUUGGGAGUUGAGUCAGUGAUAUUUUCCGUUGGGUGUCGUCGAUCGUGGCUUCAUUUCCGGUUCAAGGUCCCUGUCCGUAGCUUAAUUGUUAGGAAGGCGACCUGCAGAGUGUUUUGGCAAGAAUCAUUUGAGGUCCUUUUCAUACUCUUCCCUUCUUCAAUUAUGUGUGUUCUUAUAAUUAUUCGGAUGGAGUGAAGCGAGUUUGCGCGCAUUUGCUUGAGAUUAUUUGUGUAUUUGUUUGAACGAUAUUCGUAUUAUGUUCAUGUUCAAUUCUCGUUAAUUUAAGGACUAAGAAAUUUUGCGGUCGUUGAAUCAUUAAUCUAUUACCAAAUUUAAUUAGGAUAAAGAAGAAACAGUGAAGUAAGGAUUUUAGAUUUAAUGUGUAUGGGAUGACUCUUUCUAGUUUUAAUCUACGUUAGUCAUUCAUAAACAAUUGGCUUCUCUGUUAUCAUAUAUAGUUAUUUGUUUUAGAUAAUUGUAGUUUUAUUAAUUUCCAAAAAGAUAUAUCAUCACACUUAGGUGAAGGUAAAUGGCACUUCCGUUGUUUUGAAUGUGGGUUGGACAUUAGAAUAAAAAAAAUUGAAUUUAUCAUCUUAAUUAUUCUACUUUAUUUGUUUGGAUCGAUAGUAGCAUACUUAGGCCUUUAAUUUUCGUAAAUGUCGUAGUUUGCUUUAGGCACGUAAUUAAAUCAUCACAACUACGGGUAUGGUUCCCAUGGCGUUAUUGUGAUACUUACUCUCAAAUUAGUCUAAAUAUGAAUAUCCUAGUUCAUUUAGUUGGAUGCCUUUUCCUUUAAUAAAAUUGAGGUGUGCCAUACAAUCACCUAGUCUAUGGCCCUCCCAUCGAUAUCUUAAUUAGUGUAGAAAAUGCCUUGAAAUCUCGUAGUCUUGCUUUAGGCGCGUUAAUUAAAUAAAUUAUCGUAGCUAUGGGUACGGUUCCCGUGACGUAGUUGUGAUGCUUAAUUUCUAAAAUUCGGGGGUACAUUUAUGUGACCUGACCCCAAUUUAAUCUUGUUAAAUAAAUAAACAUGUUGUAGAUCGUGGGUAUUCGCAAUGUGUAAUCAAAUAAUUAGUGGUAUAACAGUUGGAUCAUUAAAAGCAGUUAGAAAGUUAAAAAUGCACGUAGAUUUGAAAUGUGUAAUUAAUCAGAUAAAUAGGCCAAUAAUAAUAGUUGAACAAUCAUGCUAAAACCACGGAACCUGGGAAUGCCUAACACCUUCUCUCGGGUUAACAGAAUUCCUUACCCGAAUUUCUGUGUUCGCGGACUGUAAAACAGAGUUAAUCUUUCCUCUAUUCGGGAUUUGAACUGGUGACUUGGGACACCAUAAAUUAUCCCAAGUGGCGACUCUGAUUCUUAAAUAAAUAAUCCCAUUUCAAUUGUCACUUAAAUUGGAAAAGACUCCCUUAUACCCUCUCGAGUGGUAAAAAAGGAGGUGUGACAGCUCUGACGACUCUGCUGGGGAUAAGAACCCAGAACUUCUGGUUCAGGGUUCAAGAAUUCGAGCUUAGAAUAACUGUUAUAUUUGGCUUUUAUUUAUUAUCUGGUUUUAUAAUAUGUUUGGGCCUAAUAUGCUAAGUGCUGCUUUUUACCGCUUUGAUACUAUUUGAACUGUAUAUAAACUACUACUAAACCUUUGUCUUCUCAUCUUCGGGGAUGUGCACGCUGGCGUGACUCCUCUUCUGUUAGUGUCAUACCUUAAAUUAGGAAGAGACUCGAACAAGUUACAAAGCCGGAUGACCUUUUGGUUCCCGGUACGUAGCGCCCCCCCCCCCCCCGGCUCGAGUUGUCCGCUCGUGUACACAAGUCUAGAACAACAUACCCAGGUUUUGAACUUAGAAUAACUCAGCCUCAUGCCGGAUCCCUAGUAGGAACAUUUGUUUGCAUCAUGUGCAUCUGACUUCGGGAACUCAAUACAAGGGUUGGGUCCGGCUAGGACAGGUGUGUCCAAAAAAUAAAAGACUAUCCUGAUGCAUCCUAUGUGCUACAUGUUGCAAUUUUCAAGGGUAAAAGGGUCUUUUGGCAGACCAAUGAGAGAUGAGGGAAAAUGAAAAAAGAAAAAAAAAAAGGAAAAAAAGAGAGGGUUGUCGUGCCUUUUUCCCCCCCUUCUGGACGAAGAGGAGUUUUUGGGUUUCGACAUUCAUGGGGUAUAAUGACUCAUUUCCUCUUUGGUAAUUGGGUAUUUUGAAGAGUCGUCGCCUAAUGAUUUAAGGCGCAUUAAGACACCUAUAGAGUUCAUUUACAACUAUGCUUGAUAACCAGAGAUUGGGUAAGGGCUAUAAAUUAUCCUAAGGAGAAGGUGUUAGGCACCUCUCAGGAUCCACUAGUGUGGUUCCUGGCCAGAUAGUUUUUAUGAAUUUGUGCAAUUAGCAAGUAAAUAAGUAAGGCUCAAGCAAGAGGGCAUUUAAGUUAAACACACAAACGUUUGAAACAAUUAUUGAAAGUCAAGGUUUGAAAGAGUUAUAGACUAAACAUGCUUGUAAAAAAUAAAAUGGGGGUCCUAGGCUUGUUUAUAAUAUGGAUCACCUCAAUGCAAUACCUAGUAUGACACUCCUCAAAAGAGGGUAUACACGUGGUGUGAGCACGUGAUUUUUGUUUACACGACAAUUACUCCAAAAGAAAUCGAAAAAUAGAACAAAGCGUCUUUGUGUACAAUUUUUAGAUUUUGCGUGGCAUUUUUUGGUANNNNNNNNNNNNNNNNNNNNNNNNNNNNNNNNNNNNNNNNNNNNNNNNNNNNNNNNNNNNNNNNNNNNNNNNNNNNNNNNNNNNNNNNNNNNNNNNNNNNNNNNNNNNNNNNNNNNNNNNNNNNNNNNNNNNNNNNNNNNNNNNNNNNNNNNNNNNNNNNNNNNNNNNNNNNNNNNNNNNNNNNNNNNNNNNNNNNNNNNNNNNUGUAAAUUUGGAUUUUAGUUAGAAAUAGAAAAAGAAAAGAAAUGAGUUUAAAAUUGGACGAAAUCGAAUUGGGCCAUUUGAAUUGGACCCAAAAUCAGGCCCAAAGCACUGUUUUGCCCGGUCCAGAUCAACCAACCUCAGAGAACGUCCAAACGGCGUCGUUUUGAUCAUGCUUGAUCUGGGCCGUUGAUCUCAGAUUGAUCAAUGGCCAAGAUCACGUAUCCAUACCCACGCUUUAACCCGACCCGUUUCACCCAGAGACCUACCGGUCUCACUUAACCCAUACGGCGUCGUUUCCAUUAAGCUGAUCAAUCCAGGCCAUUGAUUUUGAAUGAUCUAACGGCCCAGAUCAAAUUUCCCCCUAACUAUAUAAACCCAAUCCCUUACCCCCACGCCCCCCUAAGCCAGACCCUCCUCCCUCAUUAUCGUCUCUUUCCCAAACACCCUCAAGAACCCUAGCGCCGCCCUUCCGUUCCCUCACCAUAAACCCGGCGGCAACAAUGCCGGUGACCACCAGAUUAACACCCCUAGUGCACCUCGACCCCCUGGACACGGAUCUGCAAACCGUUGGUCUCAAAUCUUCCCCCAUCGUCUUGAAUCUUCAUUUGAAGAUUAGAGCCAAACCCCCAACCUAUGCCAAACCACCCCAAAUCCAUACCAGUUACUCCCCUGAUCUCCCUCGUGACCAAACCAAGCUUGGUUUGGUUCGAAUCUAACCAUAAAAGCUCGGAGCCCAAAUCAACCACCAAGAACCCUAGAAAUCCAGAACCUAGGGUUUUGUCCAAUUAAACGAAGGGUUGGGGUUUUAAUAGACCUUAAUCGAGGUGUUCUCAGUUGAGAACACUUCGAUUAAAGUCCGUUCAACCCCAAAAGAGGUCCGAUUCAGAGUCCAAGACGGGUUCGUCUAACCUUCAAUUUCUUAAGGUAAUUUCUUUUCCUUGUCAGUUCCAUGUUGUUGUCUGUUUGAUGUCUGUUUAUGUGUUUAAAUGUCAGUUUGAGUUGUUUUCAUUUUUGUGUCGACUAUUCUGUCCACCUCGCCCGGACCUUUUAUUUGGUCGAAUUUUUCUCUAUUCAUUGAUGAGUGUAUGUGUUUAAACUAUAUAAUCGAUUGGAAUGAGUUUGAUCGAUUAAUUAGUCUCUAGGGCAAUUCUUUGUUUUUGACAGUACAAUUUGAAUCACCUGUUAAUACUGUUCGAUUCUGAUCAUUUGCUAUUGAUUGUAUGUGUUGUAAUUCGCGUAGUCAAUUCGAUAUAUGUUGUCGAUUAGUUUCAGUUUGGAAUGGUAGUAAUCUGACUCAUGUUGUUUAAUUUUGUUUACUGAGGCAUUGUUGAAUCAGCUGAGAAUUGAUUAUAACUGUUUGUAGUUUGUUAGUUGAAUCAAAAAUCAUCUAAGGAUCGGUUAUAGCUGCAAUUCUUAAUGAAGAUUUCAGAGUUAAGAAAGUGGACUGCCAGUUGAGUAUGGGUCGAACCAUUAGAGUAAUCUAUAGUACAAAUACACCCUGGCUGACAUCUUUACAGAUGAGAAGUCAGAUGUAGGAUGGGUUUAAUAAUAAAAAGCUGAAAAUGCACAUGAGAAUAGUUGUGGAACCUGCUGUACAGUAGGAUAGCCACUGCAUUUUUGAAUUUCAGAAGAUUAAAAUAGAGGAGAAACUCCAUGCCUAGACAAUCCUAAGUGGAAAUGACAGCCUUUAGGAUUUAUUUUAAGCCAUGGGCAGCCUGCCUAUAAAAGGGAGUUCUUCUCUUAUAAUAAGGAAAGGGGACUGAAAGGAAAGGGAGCUUCUGGAGAGAAAAAGAAAAAAUACUGCUUGAUUGCUUUCUCUUCUUUGAAUUUGUUUUCAAUUCCCCAUUGGAAGUUUAGUUCCUAUAUCUUUUUAAAAGACCAGAACAUAGUUUCUUUGGUUUUCGAAGGAGAAACCCUGUCCAGUACUAGAAGUUUGGACUCAUUCGAACCUUAGUAGCAAGUCAUUCUACUUGUUCUGUUUCAUUUGGGUUUGGCUUGUGGGGUGCUGGACUUAUUUUGUUGAGCAUAUUGGUUUGUUUGGAGUCAUCUCUGCAACUCUAUUUGGUUCUCGAAACCAUUCUGAAAUUUGGUUUGGCUCGCCUCUGCUGCUUGGAAUUUCUGUCACUAAUCUCGAUUGAUUCAGAGAUUUCACUGUGUUGCUGAACCUAUUGUCGCUAUACUACUGUUGCUUCUACUGAUCUUCAUCUUCUUCUCACUUUCCAAUUCAGGUACACAUUCGAACCAAGCUGUGAUGUAAUUUUGAGUUGAAAGAUUAAAAAAUGGAAGUAUUCAUGCUUUGGCUUUCACAUUGGUGCUUAUGUAGUUUACCCCGCAUAUGUGUUUUCAAAAAUAGACACUAGUUGAUGUGUAAUUAAUUUAAGUUUACUUUUGUUCGAUACCGUUUGGGAAGAUAAACUGUAUAAUGUGAUUUGGUUUUGGCUUGUCAAUGAACUAUCUAGUUCUGCUAAAUUUUGUUUAGUCAAUAACUUUAAUAACGUUACUAGUUUAAAUGAAAGCUAUAGCAACAGAAUUAACUAGUUUUAGAUCCGUUAUCUUACAAUUAAUAGUUAAACAGUCGAGUAGUGGACUAAUUUCGAUUUCAUCUAUAUUUAGUUUUUUUUGAUUUGUUUUGGGCUGGGG
rnacentral:lncRNA from 1 species